GACAGAGGGGGCAAGCGUUGCUCGGAAUCACUGGGCGUAAAGAGCGCGUAGGCGGGAUGGCAAGUCGGUCGUGAAAUCCCUCGGCUCAACCGAGGAGCGUCGGCCGAUACUGCUGUUCUUGAGGGAUGCAGAGGAGACUGGAAUUCCCGGUGUAGCGGUGAAAUGUGUAGAGAUCGGGAGGAACACCGGUGGCGAAGGCGGGUCUCUGGGCAUCUCCUGACGCUGAGGCGCGAAAGCGUGGGGAGCAAACGGGAUUAGAUACCCCGGUAGUCCACGCGGUAAACGAUGACGACUAGGUGUGGGGAGGUAUUGACCCCUUCCGUGCCGCAGCUAACGCAAUAAGUGCCCCGCCUGGGGAGUACGGCCGCAAGGCUAAAACUCAAAGGAAUUGACGG
rnacentral:rRNA from 1 species